rnacentral:rRNA from 1 species
GAUGAACGCUAGCGGCAGGCUUAACACAUGCCAGUCGAGGGGCAGCGCGGGAUAGCAAUAUCCUGGCGGCGACCGGCGGAAGGGUGCGUAACGCGUGAGCGACAUGCCCGUUGCCCGGGGACAACCGGUGGAAACGCCGACUAAUCCCCGAUGGGAUACGAUGCUUCAUGGCAUUGUAUUGAAAGUUACGGCGGCGACGGAUUGGCUCGCGUCCGAUUAGCUGGUUGGCGGGGUAACGGCCCACCAAGGCUGCGAUCGGUAGGGGUUCUGAGAGGAAGGCCCCCCACAAUGGGACUGAGACACGGCCCAUACUCCUACGGGAGGCAGCAGUGAGGAAUAUUGGUCAAUGGGCGGAAGCCUGAACCAGCCAUGCCGCGUGCGGGAAGGAGGCCCUAUGGGCUGUGAACCGCUUUUGCCUGGGGGCAAUAAGGGCGUCGCGCACGUUCGAUGAGAGUACCAGGCGAAUAAGCAUCGGCUAACUCCGUG